CAGAGGUCUCAAGCGUUGUUCGGAUUCAUUGGGCGUAAAGGGUGCGUAGGUGGCGCGUUAAGUCAGGUGUGAAAUUUCGGAGCUUAACUCCGAAACUGCAUUUGAUACUGGCGUGCUUGAGGACUGGAGAGGAGACUGGAAUUCAUGGUGUAGCAGUGAAAUGCGUAGAGAUCAUGAGGAAGACCAGUGGCGAAGGCGGGUCUCUGGACAGUUCCUGACACUGAGGCACGAAGGCCAGGGGAGCAAACGGG
rnacentral:rRNA from 1 species